AUUGAACGCUGGCGGCAUGCCUUACACAUGCAAGUCGAACGGCAGCGGGGGAGAAGCUUGCUUUUCCUGCCGGCGAGUGGCGAACGGGUGAGUAAUACAUCGGAACGUGCCCAGUAGUGGGGGAUAACUAGUCGAAAGAUUAGCUAAUACCGCAUACGACCUGAGGGUGAAAGUGGGGGACCGCAAGGCCUCAUGCUAUAGGAGCGGCCGAUGUCUGAUUAGCUAGUUGGUGGGGUAAAGGCCUACCAAGGCGACGAUCAGUAGCUGGUCUGAGAGGACGAUCAGCCACACUGGGACUGAGACACGGCCCAGACUCCUACGGGAGGCAGCAGUGGGGAAUUUUGGACAGUGGGCGAAAGCCUGAUCCAGCAAUGCCGCGUGUGUGAAGAAGGCCUUCGGGUUGUAAAGCACUUUUGUCCGGAAAGAAAUGGCUCUGGUUAAUACCUGGGGUCGAUGACGGUACCGGAAGAAUAAGCACCGGCUAACUCUGUGCCAGCCGCCGCCGUAA
rnacentral:rRNA from 1 species